UACGUAGGGCGCGAGCGUUAUCCGGAAUUAUUGGGCGUAAAGAGCUCGUAGGUGGUUUGUCGCGUUGUUCGUGAAAACUCACAGCUCAACUGUGGGCGUGCGGGCGAUACGGGCAGACUAGAGUACUGCAGGGGAGACUGGAAUUCCUGGUGUAGCGGUGGAAUGCGCAGAUAUCAGGAGGAACACCGGUGGCGAAGGCGGGUCUCUGGGCAGUAACUGACGCUGGAGGAGCGAAAGCGUGGGGAGCGAACAGG
rnacentral:rRNA from 1 species